rnacentral:lncRNA from 1 species
UUGAUUGGUUAGUUGAAGUUGCUGAAGAGUACAAACUUCUCUCCGACACUCUUACCUCGCUGUCUCCUACAUCGACAGAUUCUUGUCUCUUCAGACUGUUAAUAGGCAAAAGCUUCAGCUUUUGGGAGUUUCUUCUAUGCUUAUUGCCUCCUAAGCAACAUCUUUUUUUGUUUUUUUUUGUAUUUUUUUGUUUGCAUCUCUUUUGGCUUAUGUAUGCAUUUUUUUGUAGGAAGUAUGAAGAGAUAACACCUCCGAAUGUGGAAGACUUCUUUUACAUAACAGACAACACUUACACUAAGCAAGAGAUUGUGAAGAUGGAAGCUGAUAUACUUCUUGCUCUUCAGUUUGAAUUAGGAAACCCCACAACCAAUACUUUUCUAAGGUUAUUAGAGUCUGAUGCUUUUGGUUUUUUAUUAAGUCAUUUAUGGUUGUGUCUCACUUCUGCUUAUGUUGGUUUUUGUGCAGACGGUUCACAAGAGUUGCGAAGAUAUCAAUGUAAGAGUUCUUGAAUUGUGGCGUUUCUUUUUUUGCGAGUAUUACCGAUGUCACAUUUACAGAUGGAGUUUCUCUGUAGUUAUCUUUCAGAGCUAAGCAUGUUAGAGUAUAACAGUCUGAAGUUUCUUCCGUCUGUUGUGGCUGCUUCAGCCGUAUAUCUCGCAAGAUUCAUCAUCCGUCCAAAGCAACAUCCCUGGGUAAAGCGUGCUUCUUGUUCUAAUUCUAUAUUCACCACUUGUAGAAGACACUAAAUCUCUAGUUUUUGAAUGUAACAGAGUGUAAUGUUAGAAGAAUACACGAGAUACAAAGCGGGUGAUCUCAGAGAAUGUGUGUGCUGGGUUUUAAAUGGCUAGAGGCGACUCAAAGCGAGCUAGUGGUCGCCAAGCGGCAAGCGCCAUGGCGACCGAAGGCGAGCGCCAUGUGUAUGCCUCACACAAAAGGAAUUCAAAACGACUAUAUGUUACUUCCCUUUAAGUUCAAUGAAUAAUAUGUAUGUUUAAAUCCAAAACACUAAAUCCACUAUAGUUGAAUCCUAAAUAGCAAAACAAGCACGAAAAACAGCAAGUCUAAAUAGCAAAACACCUAAGUCUUAAUAGCAAAACAACAACUAAAAAUACCAAAUCAAAACACCAAGUCCUUAAACACUAAAACUCAGAUUCAGAAUUAUGAUCUUUAUACUCUAACUCCUACACAAAACCAAAGUCAUUUAACUCAUCCUCUCUCAGUCAUAAUAAAACUUAAACACAGAAGAGAAAAGUAUGAUCAGGGGAUAUUUGGGAAAGGUUAAACGUGAUAAAGGAGAAAAAUAUGAUUACGGGAUAUAUGCCUUACUAAACCAAAUUCGGUUUGAUAGACUAGGUUUACACAAACCAAACUAGUUUGUCUAAUAUCAACAUGUCGUGGCUAGAAGCGCCUUCCAGAAAGCAUGAAAGCGGAGAAUAGCGACCGCCAUGUGUAUGUCGCCUGGCCAUGGGGUAUUGAGGCGAUGAGGCUAUCGAUCCACCUCGCCAUGCGCCAUGGCGACCAAAGUGAUCGCUUUUUAAAACCAAGUGUGUGUGUAUGAUACAUGACUUGUAUCUCAGCAGAAAAGGAGGAGCUUUACAAGCUGUUAGAGAUAGAUACAAGCAGCAUAAGGUAAAUCCAAUUAACUAAUAUGAAAUCUAUUUUGACUUUAAUGUGUAGAACACAAUGUUCUUGAGACUUACAUGUUUCUAUGUCUCUAUUUUGGUUCCCUACUCAGUUCAAGUGUGUUGCGACUAUGCCUGUAUCGCCAGAGCUUCCUCUUACCUUCUUUGAAGAUGUCAGCAUUUAGAGAGAUAUUUGUUCAUCGGCAAAGAAUCAUUUGAAACCAGAAGAAGCAGUUCGGUGGUGUUUUGGGUUGUACAUGUCUGAUACGUUUGAGGCCUUACGUCCUCCGAUACUAUAUCAGUAUCACCGCAGGGGCAAGGCCCAGAAGUGAGGAGGAAUAGUCAGACCUGUGGCCCAAGAGUGCCCGAUCCCGGCCCUUAGGCCCAAACUGAUCCGCGGCCCUCAUUCCUUAUUCAUGUCUAGUUGAUUCCGGUUUUGAGUCCAUAAUUUCUAAGUUCAUUUCAAGUCAAUUUAAUUGAGGUUUAUAAACAAUCCAGAUAACAGAAUGAACAUAAGGGGAAAAUCGAUUGUAUUAAUAUCAAAUGAGAUUCAUACAUAGGUUCAUAUCAUUCAGUUUGCAUAAUAGGCUAUCAUAAGUUCAUUCCUAACAGAGUCUACCCAAACACCACACAUCUUCACAUGGCCUGAGUCUUCACGGUUCCUUAGCUUUACCACGAUCCAAGUCAGAUCCUGAAACCAACCUAUACACAUCCAUCAAUAACAAUCCGAUAUCCUAACAUCAAUCUCUAAUCAUGCAUGGUUCGGAUCCUUAAGAACUAGAUUCUGUCCAAAAUGACAUCUUUCAUAUGAAUUCCAAAAACUAAUUAAAAUUCAUGAUAAUUCCUGAUAGAUCCCCACUAAGAGAUUUCCAUAAUCGGUUUCCAACAAAUCCGCCAAGAAGUGUUAGAUCUCGAUCAUGGACAGUCCGGCCAAAGGCCAAAGACUUUGUUCCUGAACCGGCCAAGGCCUGGUUCAUCAUUCCCUGUCUGAUCAAUCCAGAUACAACACAAUAUAUAAAAGAGAGGGUGAUUUAGAAGAGAUAGAGAGAAUGGAUGUAACCGGUUCUCAAACCAGCCACAAGCCCGAUCGGAUCAACAGCCGGCUAGGGCCAUUUGCUUCCCGUGUACACCACUGACCUUAGGCGUUCUCUCUCCUGGUGCCAUCUCCUUCUCUUUCUGUCUGGUAUCCAUCUCUUCAAGCCCUGUCUCCCACGAUCAAGCCUUCACCGGAACCGCCAAGCCUUCUCGCGGUUCUCUCUCUCUUAACCACCGGUCUCUCUCUCUCUUUCUUUCUUGAGAUUCUCUCUCACGAUUUUGGCAGAGGUUUCCCUAAGGAAUUGUGUGUCCAAAUCUGACCCCAAGGACUUGUAUUUAUAGAGAGAGGGAGUCAGAACUGCCCAAGGGGCGAAGGGGUGGGAGUUGUGGCCGAAAAGGUGCCAUUCUCUCUCUUUCAUCCUUUCGCCAUCAACUGUCUCUAACCGGUCCCCAACUGCUUCCAACUGCUCCUGAUCCUGUCGGUUUCCAGCCUGUCUCCAAGGCCUGAACCCUUAGACUGAUCGUUCAACACCACAGCCACACAAUCUAGCCAAGCCGCCAUAACCGCCCAUGUAACCGCCUCGGACAUGAACACUCAGCCCAGCUGAGUUGAACUGAUUGCUAGCUACCACCAGCUGAGUGAGCUAGUACAUCCAGCUCCACUAGCUGAUGUACACUGACUGAGCUACCAUCGAGCUUCCCCGAGCUGACUAAGCUCGACCAUGGCCUUGCCCAGCUACCGGAACACUCGUCCAACUCUGUUGAGCUUGUCCCUGCCUCGUUCUGGUUAAGUCUCAGCCUCCCGAUACCCUUAACCAUGUCUCUGAGCCAUGAUACGCUUGUCUUUAGGUCUGAUGACCUGACUGGUGCGUCUCCUCGUACCAUGGCUCGUCCCGGACGAUCCUAUCUUGGAUCGGGGAUGCUACAGCAUCAUCGCUGGAGGUUUUCUCUCAUGCGGCAAGAUAUAUUGUUUUAGGGUUUGAGGGCUCGUCUCUCUCGUAGCUCAUGGUGCCCAGCUCUAGACCUGAUUAGUUUUGGUUUAUUUGGUCCAUGCCAUCUAGUUACUUAGCUGGGUUGUAGGGUCUGUCCCGCUAUUUUUUUGGGUUCAAUAUUGUCGUUGUUCUAGUGUUCAGCUUUAAUUUAUGUAUUCUACCUACUAGUUUUCUUUGUAAUUUUUAUCACAAAUUUAAAAAUUUGUAUUACAUUUAACAUUUUAUCAAAAUAAAUUCUUUUUGAUAUCUCUUAAAAUGUUUGCUUUGGAAAAUAAUACAAAAAUUACAAAAUGUGUACCAUACCCCUUACAUUCACAUAAUUGUUAAUUGAAUUUAAUUUGUUUUAUAGUAUAAAAAUGUGAAUAACAAUUACAAAAUGUCAAAUAUAUUUUCAUUUAUUAUUCUAGUUAGGUCUAAUUCUAAUAUCUAAGUCAUAUAUUUUAAUUAUAAUUUUAAUAUCUAAAUUCUUUCAUUUAUUGUAUAAUUUGAUUUUUAAAUGGAAUUUUAGUGAUUGUUGUCGUCAACAAACCGUAAUGAAAAAAAAAAACAAUUAAUUCCUUAUUGUUCAGGAUUCUUGUUGGAGAGGCUCAUUAAAAGUGCUCUUGAAAUAGUUAUUGCCAGUAAAAUUUUUGGAAGGGAAAAGUUUUUCUUUUUCUUUUAUCCUGCCAACAAAAUUCGACCCACAUUUUCGUAAAACCAAAAUUUGAAAACAUCAAAAUUUUUGAAAACCAAAAAAACAAGAGCGAGUGCCAAUUCAAUGUCUCAUUCGAAAAAAUCCAUGGGAAAUGGCGCUCUGCGUCUUCCCUUUUUCUUCUCCCCUCUAUCCAUCAUUCUCUUCCAAUCAAUCGCAUCUCGCUCGAUCUCUGCCUCUUGAACCCAUCGAAUCAUGUCGGACGAUAAGGAGAACUUCGUGAGGAUGACGAGAGCAGCCACGAAAAGAAAAGCUGCUAUGGCACACGAGGACCGUCUCAGCAAGAAGAAGAAGAAGAGAGUUGUCCUCGGUGAGCUUCCCAACUUGUGCAAUAAGCAAAAACAACCCGUUAGAGUUCCGAAGAAGCAAAACAAGAAGAAAUCAAAUUCGAAAGUCCCACAGGAAUCAAAGUCCGAUAUCAUCGACACCAGAUCUGAUGAUCCCCAGAUGUGUGCUCCUUAUGUCACCAGAAUCUUCGUCUAUCUCCGUCAAUUAGAGGUUAGCUUUCUCAAUUCGCAAUCUCGAUUUCAAAUUCAAUCUGGGUCUUAUCUAAAAAUUUGAUUUUGGGUGGAAGUUUGAAUCAGGUGAAGGAAAAGUCAAGGCCUUUGAUUGAUUAUAUUGACAAGGUGCAGAAAGAUGUAACCCUUAAUAUGAGAGGAGUUUUGGUUGAUUGGUUAGUUGAAGUUGCUGAAGAGUACAAACUUCUCUCCGACACUCUUACCUCGCUGUCUCCUACAUCGACAGAUUCUUGUCUCUUCAGACUGUUAAUAGGCAAAAGCUUCAGCUUUUGGGAGUUUCUUCUAUGCUUAUUGCCUCCUAAGCAACAUCUUUUUUUGUUUUUUUUUGUAUUUUUUUGUUUGCAUCUCUUUUGGCUUAUGUAUGCAUUUUUUUGUAGGAAGUAUGAAGAGAUAACACCUCCGAAUGUGGAAGACUUCUUUUACAUAACAGACAACACUUACACUAAGCAAGAGAUUGUGAAGAUGGAAGCUGAUAUACUUCUUGCUCUUCAGUUUGAAUUAGGAAACCCCACAACCA